GACGAACGCUGGCGGCGUGCUUAACACAUGCAAGUCGAACGGAAAGGCCCUGCUUUUGUGGGGUGCUCGAGUGGCGAACGGGUGAGUAACACGUGAGUAACCUGCCCUUGACUUUGGGAUAACUUCAGGAAACUGGGGCUAAUACCGGAUCGGAGCUCCUGCUGCAUGGUGGGGGUUGGAAAGUUUCGGCGGUUGGGGAUGGACUCGCGGCUUAUCAGCUUGUUGGUGGGGUAGUGGCUUACCAAGGCUUUGACGGGUAGCCGGCCUGAGAGGGUGACCGGCCACAUUAGGACUGAGAUACGGCCCAGACUCCUACGGGAGGCAGCAGUGGGGAAUAUUGCACAAGGGGCGGAAGCCUGAUGCAGCAACGCCGCGUGCGGGAUGACGGCCUUCGGGUUGUAAACCGCUUUCGCCUGUGACGAAGCGUGAGUGACGGUAAUGGGUAAAGAAGCACCGGCUAACUACGUG
rnacentral:rRNA from 1 species